GAUCCGAUAGUGAAAGGGUAUCAUACGUGCUUGCCAUCACACGCAAGCGUGCACGUGGCCCGAGUUCGAGUCUCGGUCGGUUCA